AUACUUACCUAGAAGAAGAGAUACCAUAAUCACAAAGGUCAUUUUCCCGGGGUGAGGCUUAUUCAUCACAUCCAGAACAUCUUGAUAUUCUGACCCCUACAGUUUCCCCCAAAUUCAGGAAACUCAACUGCAUACUUGGUGGUAGUGAGGAACUGUAUUCAUGCUCCCCUGUG
rnacentral:snRNA from 1 species